rnacentral:sRNA from 1 species
CAACACUGAGUGCCCUUCACAACAUACAUGUACUGUGCAUCCAUCGUCGACUCUUGUGGCGGAGCUUUCUUUUUUCAGAAUAUUGCUUGGAAACUCUGCCUCAGUUUCCACGGAAGGCCGAAACUCCAUCCAGGAGAAUCAACCUAGGAGCUGGGGUGCCAGAGGAUGGUCUUGUGUGUGAACAUAGAACGA